GAGAUGUUGGCUUUCUCGAUACUGGGGCCUAGCUGUACAAUAUGGUAUCUGUGCAGAUAUAGCAGGGACGAAGCAUGAACAUUGGUCAUCCUUUGCACCUCUUCCAUUUGAAGUUGUGAUUUCUGCUGGCCAGAAGGCCAGAGAGGAAUCCUGGAAUGGUGGCGAUGAUUCUGAUCGGAGCAAACGUGCCCGUGACAUUAGUGACUUAUCUGGAGAGGGAAAUAUUGAGAGUAUGCUGUCAGUUGAAAUGGCUCUAAGAGAAUUAGCUUCCCUCAAGGUAGAGGAUGCUGUUAUUCUUGCAUUGGCGCAGCAUCGGCGCUCAAAUGUAGUUCGGCAGUCCUCUGAUCCUAAAUCAUCUGUUGACCCCAAGUUGAUGGAUGCAUAUGAGUUGGGGCAAGAGGAGUCGGAAGAUGUUCUUUUUAAGGAGGCUUGGCUUACAUACUUUUGGAGGAGAGCCAAAGUGCAUUGUGUAGAAGAGGAUAUUGCAGAAGAGAGACUUCAGGUCUGGAUAGGCCGUAGUGGACAGACACCAACCACUCAUGAUGCAGUUGAUGUUGAAAGAGGUUUGAUAGAAUUGAGGAAGCUGGGGAUAGAACAGCAGCUGUGGGAGGCAUCUCGUAAAGAGAUUGACCACCAACCUAAUAAUGGAAAAAUGAGUAGUGAUUCGGAGGCAUCUCCAUGAUGUACUUGUUUGAUGUCUAUUCUUUUACGGAUUGUAUUCUUCCCUUUUCCUUUUUCCUUUUGGGUUUACGAUUCAGAUAGAUAUUCUUUCUUCUUCAUCUUCUUCUU
rnacentral:misc_RNA from 1 species